CUUUUCCCGCACCGGUGGCCGGACUCUGCAUGAGUCACCGCCUGCCUGCAAGCCCAGAGCUCGCCGCACCCCCCUGCCUCUCCGCACCGUCCCACAGGCUGUGACCCUCCACCCAGCCAUAGACGGUUCUGCUCUUGGCACAAAGGAGGGCUUCUUAGCCGGGAAUAUGGCUGCCCGGGAGGGGCGACUUCUGUGCUUGUUUUUCCUUCCUGGCACUGAAAACAAGCACAUCCACCCAACAAAUAAAGACGCGGUCAAUGAAAGCAGCUGUGUUUCAAGGGGAGACAGGGAGCAAGCCAAGGAAUAAAUGAAAAGACCCAGUGACAAAAUGCCCAUUCAUCGGGUUCACUCGGCAAACAUUUACUGAAGCAUCUGUGUGCCAGGCACUGUCCUGAGUGCUGGGAAGACACAAAGAUGCCCUUCAGAACGAUGACCCCCGCCUCGCCCUCCGCUGGAACCGGGAGGCAGACACACACAUAAAUACGACACAGUCAACCGUCCCCAGUUCACAGCAUCUAAAGGAGCUAGGAAUGCAUGGGAUGCUUAUGGAAUGUGCGAGAACACGGAGACAAAGUCUCACUGUGUUCCCAGGCUGAUCCCCAACUCCUGAGCUCAAGCCAGCCACCAGCCUUGGCCUCCCAAAGUGCUGGGAUUACAGGCGUGAGCCACCACGCCGGGCCCAGAUGAACAGUCUUAUGAAUCAAUUUCAUUUCCAAGAGCCCUGUUGGACUUCAUGGCUGAGACAGAGCUGAGAGCAGAGAAAACAGACUCAUAAAAUCCUGGCAGAAUCUUUCCAUUCUAAUAGAGAAAAGAGGAAGGUAUGGAAAAGAGUGAAAUUGGCAUAAAAAAUCCAAUAAAGGGCAACGAGCAGGAAACAACAAAAACAUGGGAAACUGCCGACCUGAGGAAUCGCGCUCUUCUAACUUUACAGCUUCACCUGCCGUGUUUGCUCCUGGAGGACUGAGACUUUUGUCUGAUUCGUCUGCUGCUGUCUUCCCGAUGCCUAGAACACUGCCUGAUGCACGGGAAGUAUUUGUCAGAUACAUCCCAUGGCUUCUAAUGCCAUUUGCAAGGAUGAAAGCUGGGUGUGCCCGGCUGUACGGCAAUACUUCCAAAGGCCUGUAGGACUCCCCAGUGACUGUCCCAUUCACCAGGAGGAGGACUGCAGUCACCUGCAUUGUCCUGGGAAGGUCAGCCAGGCCUUUUCCCAAUGUCUGUCUGGGAAAAGCCCCGGUGUAGUCUGCUCGGUCCUACACCCAGAAUCACGGGGGCUUCAGGAGCAGGCAUUACGAGGCAAGGAGUAGCUUCUCCCCCUCACCUCCCACUCAGCAGAACGCACUAGCCCUGUGCUCUUCUGAUCCUGAAGGCAGCUGAGUCUGAAAAGUUCCUGUACCUUUAAAGGUACUAGAGGCAGUGUGGUGCCCACUCAGGAACUGCAUGAUUUAAAUAGGUUUCUAGGAUAAAGGCAACUCGUAGCACAAAGGAACAAGUCCCAGGGAGUGGCAUUCCAGAUCAUUUGAUUCCUGAGCGAAGGAAUUAUUAUGGUGUGGAGGUGGGGACCUCCUUACUACAUUCCAAAUUGCAAUAAGGUUGUAAGGGUUUUCUCUUCCAUUCUGAAGUACUUUGACAAUAGUUUUGAACUUCAAAAAUGUUUAUUAAAGGUGUUUUCACAGCAGUUUCAUAAUGUUUAAUUUGUUAAUUACUGGAAUUGAUGCUAAAUAAAACAGGCAAGUAAUACUUCAGAUGGCUUCAUCUUCAGAGUCUUCUUCAUGUGUGACUCAAAAUGCACAAUUUUGGCCGGGCACAGUGGCUCACGCCUGUAAUCCCAGCACUUUGGGAGGCUGAGACAGGCGGAUCACCUGAGGUCAGGAGUUUGAGACCAGUUUGGCCAACAUGGUGAAACCCCAUCUCUACUAAAAAUACAAAAAUUAGAUGGGCAUGGUGGUGUGUGCCUGUAAUCCCAGCUGCUUGGGAAGCUGAGGCAGGAGAAUUGAUUGAACCCAAGAGGCGGGGCUUGCAGUGAGCCGAGAUCCCGCUCCAGCCUGGGCAACAAGAGCGAGACUCCGUCUCAAAAAAAGAAAAAAAAAGCACAAUUUCAGGACAGCCUAAGCAAAUAAAAAAUGGGAAAUGGAAAUGGAUUCGAAGCAGGGAGGACGUUCCGCCCACUGUCACACCGAAGGAAUGGUGGAGGCUGUGAGUCCUCCGCCCACUGUCACACCGAAGGAUGGUGGAGGCUGUGAGUCCUCCUGUAAGCCGCCGCUGGAGAAGGGGCAGCUCUGGAACCUGACGACAUUCUCCUAUCUUGCAUGAGGUGGAGACAAAGAGUCCUUCUGCGCUGGGACAGGAUGAGGGCGAAGUGGUGACUUCAGGUCAGAAGCAGAGCCUUGGGGACCUCUGAUUCUCAAGGGCGAGCUCCCUCCAGAACCCCAAGAGAUGGCCCUGACUGCAUGGGAAAGCGUGUCUCACCAUUGCAAUGUUCUCUAAGUCUGGAGGAGGCGGAGCCCAGUGAGAAUGACAGGCAGACCGCAAGGAGGCCCGGAAGCCCCCCAUGGCGAGGAUGCAUCCAAGUGUAUUCUGUAGGAGUGACCAGUGGCCACGUGGGUAGUGGGCAGAGCUUGUUUUCCUCCAAUAUCAGCGUACAGAGCAGGGGAGCCUGGUGAAGGUUUCUCUCUGAAAUCAUGGAUUCAGCUGUAUUAGUUUCUAUCCAAGGCUGGCAUAGCUCACCUUCCACUCCAGCAAUGACCUCGGGCCAGCUGUCACGAGCCUUCUCACCACGAGGAUGGUCUGGGGUGGUGAGAUCUCACUGUUGGCCAUAAUUCAUUCAACAUUUCUUCACUUCUCUGCUUGUAAGUUUUCAUUUCCUCUGCAGCUGGUAGCUUCUGUCAUUUCUUUUCCUAUUUAUACCAGUCCUGAAUCAGCUUCUUUUUCAGAACCAUGCAUUUCUCUCGGUAGAGGUCG
rnacentral:lncRNA from 10 species